rnacentral:rRNA from 1 species
UACGGGGGGAGCAAGCGUUGUUCGGAUUUACUGGGCGUAAAGGGCGCGUAGGCGGCCACCGCAAGUCGACUGCGAAAUCUCCGGGCUUAACCCGGAAAGGUCAGCCGAUACUGCGGGGCUAGAGUGCAGAAGGGGCAACUGGAAUUCUCGGUGUAGCGGUGAAAUGCGUAGAUAUCGGAAGGAACACCAGUGGCGAAGGCGGCCAUCUGGACGGUGACUGACGCUGAGACGCGAAAGCGUGGGGAGCAAACAGG